rnacentral:tRNA from 10 species
GGGCGAUUAACUCAGUGGUAGAGUGCCACCUUCACACGGUGGAAGUCAGUGGUUCGAACCCACUAUCGCCCACCA